rnacentral:rRNA from 1 species
ACAACGGAGAGUUUGAUCCUGGCUCAGGAUGAACGCUGGCGGCGUGCUUAACACAUGCAAGUCGAACGAACCUUCGGGUUAGUGGCGGACGGGUGAGUAACGCGUGAGAAUCUGCCCUCAGGAGGGGGAUAACGGUUGGAAACGACCGCUAAUACCCCAUAUGCCUACUGGUGAAACGAAUUUCGCCUGAGGAUGAGCUCGCGUCUGAUUAGCUUGUUGGUGAGGUAAUGGCUCACCAAGGCUUCGAUCAGUAGCUGGUCUGAGAGGAUGAUCAGCCACACUGGGACUGAGACACGGCCCAGACUCCUACGGGAGGCAGCAGUGGGGAAUUUUCCGCAAUGGGCGAAAGCCUGACGGAGCAACGCCGCGUGAGGGACGAAGGCCUCUGGGCUGUAAACCUCUUUUCUCAAGGAAGAAGAUAUGACGGUACUUGAGGAAUAAGCCACGGCUAAUUCCGUGCCAGCAGCCGCGGUAAUACGGGAGUGGCAAGCGUUAUCCGGAAUUAUUGGGCGUAAAGCGUCCGCAGGCGGCUUUUCAAGUCUGCUGUUAAAGCGUGGAGCUUAACUCCAUCAUGGCAGUGGAAACUGAAAGGCUUGAGUAUGGUAGGGGCAGAGGGAAUUCCCGGUGUAGCGGUGAAAUGCGUAGAUAUCGGGAAGAACACCAGUGGCGAAGGCGCUCUGCUGGGCCAUUACUGACGCUCAUGGACGAAAGCCAGGGGAGCGAAAGGGAUUAGAUACCCCUGUAGUCCUGGCCGUAAACGAUGAACACUAGGUGUCGGGGGAAUCGACCCCUUCGGUGUCGUAGCUAACGCGUUAAGUGUUCCGCCUGGGGAGUACGCACGCAAGUGUGAAACUCAAAGGAAUUGACGGGGGCCCGCACAAGCGGUGGAGUAUGUGGUUUAAUUCGAUGCAACGCGAAGAACCUUACCAGGGUUUGACAUCCUGCGAACCUCUUAGAAAUUUGAGGGUGCCUUCGGGAAUGCAGUGACAGGUGGUGCAUGGCUGUCGUCAGCUCGUGUCGUGAGAUGUUGGGUUAAGUCCCGCAACGAGCGCAACCCACGUUUUUAGUUGCCAGCAUUUAGUUGGGCACUCUAGAAAGACCGCCGGUGAUAAACCGGAGGAAGGUGUGGAUGACGUCAAGUCAUCAUGCCCCUUACACCCUGGGCUACACACGUACUACAAUGCUACGGACAAAGGGCAGCAAACUCGCGAGAGCUAGCAAAUCCCAUAAACCGUGGCUCAGUUCAGAUCGUAGGCUGCAACUCGCCUACGUGAAGUAGGAAUCGCUAGUAAUCGCAGGUCAGCAUACUGCGGUGAAUACGUUCCCGGGCCUUGUACACACCGCCCGUCACACCAUGGAAGUUGGCCAUGCCCGAAGUCGUUACUCCAACCCUUGUGGAGGAGGACGCCGAAGGUGGGGCUAAUGACUGGGGUGAAGUCGUAACAAGGUAGCCGUACCGGAAGGUGCGGCUGGAUCACCUCCUAA